CAGCAGUAGCCGCGGGAAUACAGAGGGUGCGAGCGUUAAUCGGAUUUACUGGGCGUAAAGCGUGCGUAGGCGGCUUUUUAAGUCGGAUGUGAAAUCCCUGAGCUUAACUUAGGAAUUGCAUUCGAUACUGGGAAGCUAGAGUAUGGGAGAGGAUGGUAGAAUUCCAGGUGUAGCGGUGAAAUGCGUAGAGAUCUGGAGGAAUACCGAUGGCGAAGGCAGCCAUCUGGCCUAAUACUGACGCUGAGGUACGAAAGCAUGGGGAGCAAACAGGAUUAGAUACCCCGGUAGUCCCUGUCUCUUAUAU
rnacentral:rRNA from 1 species